rnacentral:rRNA from 1 species
UACGUAGGGGGCUAGCGUUGUCCGGAAUCAUUGGGCGUAAAGAGCGCGUAGGCGGCCCUGUAAGUCCGCUGUGAAAGUCAAGGGCUCAACCCUUGGAUGCCGGUGGAUACUGCAGGGCUAGAGUCCGGAAGAGGCGAGUGGAAUUCCUGGUGUAGCGGUGAAAUGCGCAGAUAUCAGGAGGAACACCAAUUGCGAAGGCAGCUCGCUGGGACGUUACUGACGCUGAGACGCGAAAGCGUGGGGAGCAAACAGG